CCGGCCCACUGGGAUUGGUUCUAAGCAUCCUCUGCCCGGGCCACACUCAGGCCAGUAAAAUCCCAGUCUCUGGGGGUGGUGUCUGGGCAGGAAUGUUUUAGAGUCUCUCCCCAGGUGACUCUACCAUUCAGCAAGGAUUGAGAGCCCUUGGGACCCACCUGACCUGCCUGCCUGAGUUUGGGUGACCAUGCUUCUGUGUGGGCGGUGCCACUGCUGCCUGUCCCUUUCUCGGAGAGGCCUCACGGCCGAGGCGUGCGUUCUUUUUUCCCGGCACCGUCACCACCCGUGUUGUCCUCACUUGAAAGGUGGCCAUUUGAGAUCUACAGGACCGUGCCUAGUUCACAGAUGGGGCGGCCACUAACAUUCUUACGGUCUUCACCUUGCGCUAGAACUUUCCAGGGUGAGACCUUUCUGUGCCCUUUCUACGUCACCUGGAGCCCGUGACGCCCGCUCAUCUGUCUGGCUGGAAUCGCCGCCUGGCCCCUCACCACGGUUAUUGCCUUUCGUGCCGAGUUGCCCGGGUUUGCUGUGUUAUUGGCUCGUUUUUCAUUCUGCAUCUGCAGUAGCCAGACUUGGAGAUGAAAAGCAUGUGGCGCCUAACCAUGAUGAAAGAGGGGCGCCUGCGAGUGCCUGAGCGUCUGAAAAGGACCUUUUAGAGGCGGAGGAGCAGAGGAGGAGAGUGACUGCGGGCUCAGCUGGCCCCGUGGCCCCGUGGCCCCGUGGUCUGGAUGGCGUGGCUGGAGUCUGGCCUCUCAGAGCCGAGGCUUCCCGAGCUGUGAGGCGAGAGAGAGAGAGAGAUUCACCUUGCAGAGUUCUACGGCGCGGCACGGAGCGGCCAUUCCAUAAGCAUCGUUGCCGUAGCUGUAAUAUGUUAUCACUAUAACGUAUAUCUAUGAGUCAUAAAAUAAUAGAACUAUUUUAUUUUGGAGAUCUCUUAGAAAACAUAAACAGGAGAAAGAACCAUGAAAUGGGUGACUUGAGAAUAGCUUCCGCUCCGAUAUUCAAUUACCCUUCCCGCUCUCUCCCCCUCUCUCUCCUUCUGCAAUUUGAUUAUUUCGGGGCCCACAAUGCACCUGUGCCAACAUCCCUGGGCCUCUCCUGAGGGCGCACACGAGUGAAAUAAACAGGCCUUGUCUGCGCCCUCUCUCUUUGGGAGUGUCGUGGGUAUGGAGACCCCCUACAAAGUCAUUUUAUCUCUCAGGUUCGUGGGUGAGCAGGAGCGUUGGGGACACAGUGCCAGUCUGUGUACCCUGGUGGUGUUUUCCUCGUUCCGAGAGAUUAAGUAACACGCACCAGGUUACAGAACAACCGAGGGGCAGGGCUAGGCUUCUAACUCAGGUGUCUGGAACACAGUGUUUUCCAUUUCAAUAUUCAGUCGUCAUUCAACAAACAGUGAUCACAUGGGUUCCAGGGCGCUAUGCGUGGGGGGCUGGGUGAGUAAGAACCCGG
rnacentral:lncRNA from 10 species